rnacentral:misc_RNA from 1 species
GAAACGCUGCUUUUCUGAAACGAGUGUUUAGUUUAGACACUCUUGUGAAACCUCUUCCUCCUACUAUGGCCUAUAGUGCUCAACGCAGCCUGCGUUUUUUCACUCGCAUUUUCACACAGCUUUGGGAUCCUGAGGGAAUCCAAGAUGCGCAAAGAGCAAUUGGGAUUGGGAAUGAAGAGAAAGUUCGUCGUGUCCGUUGACCAAUGUCUAAUUAAUUAUAUCUUUUUUUCUCUGUAUCUUGUUAUACUGAGCUUGUUAGUUUUUCA